rnacentral:lncRNA from 1 species
CUGCUAAAGACAUGAAUCCAAUGAAUGCAAAGUGAAGUGAUAAAUCCAAUAUCAUUUCAUUUCUUAAAACUGUUCUCCUUGUUCUUCAAUACCAUUUAGUUCCUAAAUCCCAAUGAUAGAACACACAUUAAAAUAUUCAUUCACUCUUUAGCCACGAUCAUAGAUUUUGCAGUGGUAGGAGUAUUUAUUCCAUUUGGUAGAUUAGCACAGAAAAGCAAUAGUAACGUCUAUACAUUGGAGGAACUAAGUGUUAUUUAUUCUAUUCGUUAGAUUAGCUACUUCAACACUUCUAAUGAUUCUGUAUUUU